CAGCCCUCAGGCCCUAACCGGCCUGAUGUUGGGGCAUCUGCGGCUGACCGUAGGCCCUAAAAGAUAGUGGCGGUGUCCGCUAGCACUCCGGGCGCAGUAGAUUUCCUUCUCGCCGAGGAUGUCUUGCGGGCUGCCGGCCGUAAAACACCGUAAUGAUAGAAGG
rnacentral:misc_RNA from 1 species